CUCCUCCGAUCUGGGUUUCAUAAAAGAAGCAGUGGAAGCUAGGACGGAAAGCAAAGUAUGGGAGAUAAUAAAUAGGGAAAGAAAAAAGUGGAAGAAGGUGAAUGAAGAUAUAGGGGAGGACGAGUGGAGGGGGUAUUUCAUGGGACUAAUAGGUGGAGUGGAAAGAAGGGUAACAGGGGGUGGGAGCACGGCAAACAGGAAGGGGGACGGGGAAGGGGAGUUGCAGAAG